UUGCACUGUUCCUUUAAUGCUUCCGAGACCUGGGUCGUCCUUCUGGUUUAAAAAUAAACUUCCCUGCUUCUUUUUCUUCUUCUACUCUGAGGCUCUUAGGGACAGAAGAAGCCUGCUAACAAGUGGGCCAUCCUCACCAAAGUUGCUACAUAAAAAUCAAAAUCAAGGACUCUUCUUAUUAGCAUAUACACAGGCACUACAGCAAAACCAGAGCAUGGACUCCAGAAAACAAAAAUUCCAUUUGAAGAUCUAAUGGAAAGGAAGGAACAAAAGCUUUUCCUGGGAGAUGAAGAUGAGUAAACACAUAUUGAGUUUACAGUCCACGGUACCUGCAGGAGACAAAAGGACGUUGUCAGAGCAUGAAGUUAUUCCUAUCACCACGUCACACAGGGCACACUUCCUGUGAGCCUGAGAUGACCAAUGGAGGGGAGGUGGCAGCUUACGGGCUUUAUCAGCUAGACACUGAGCUCUUCUACACAAAGACAGGAAAAUGUGUUCCAGAGAUCCAGAGAAUUCCUCUGAAAUACACAUGGAGGUGAGAUUUCACAGAAUACUGACGUACCUGGAAAUCUGUAGAUCCCAGCAAGGAGUGUGCGGAUUGGAUGAGCAGCAGGGAGGUGUCAGGUUCAACUUGACACCAAAGGCAAAUCCUCAGGCAGAGUCGGGAGGUGUGUUAAGGAUUUGGGAGGAGAGCUAGAAGCUCAAUGGGGAAAACUGUCAAAUACAGAUCUAAGGAUGAAGCCAAGAACCAAGGAAAACUUAACCAAAGACAGGAAACCACUGUGGGAGAAAAUUUACAUAAUUCUAUUAAUUAGCUCUCUCACCCAGAGCUAAUUUUCAUCGUCUGUUCAUGCAUGCAAAAGUUUCGGCCAGGUGGCAUCUCAGCAGUGACGCACAACAAUCGACAUUUAUUACUUUGCCUUUGUUUGUUUUUUUGUUUGAUGGGUCAUCGAAGGAUAAGUAGAGCUCCAGAUUCAAAUAUUCUGAAAAAUUUUAAGAGAAAUGAAGAAAAUUCCUCUGAACAUCAAAAUUACCUUUCUGACAAGGUGUGUGUGUGUGCAUAUGCGUGUGUACAGAAGUCAGCUUGUUGAAGAGGAUAGUCUAGACUCACGCCAUACCAGUUUUGUGGUAGAACUAAAACUUCACAACUUGACAUCGGCCUGAGAGUGAUUCUUGAGUAAAAUAUAAUAAUAUAAUAUCAAUAUGGUUAAGAACAAUACCUAGCAUAUUGCAUGCAUUCAGUCUACUAAGCUUCGUAAUAGGCAUUCUCAUAUCAGGUUUCCAAUGAUUCUUUUGAAAUAGUUAUUAUUGCUCCUGUUUUAUCCAUGAGGGAAAUGAGGGUCACAGAGGAGAUAUGAUUGCUCAGACAACUGAGCUUGUAGGGGACAGAGUUGGGAUUUUAGAUAGGUGUUUCUGAAUCUCCCACAACAUAGCAGAACAUGAUGAGUCACCUGAAGUCCGGUGGAUCUGAGGUGAGCCAUAAAGUUUGCUGAAGGGUUUUUGUAUCUCAGCUAUCCAGGAUACCCAAAAUCACAAUGGAAACUUUGAGAGAAGAGUCAACAUCUUAAUGAUGCUGGGAGAAUCAUAAACACCUCUCACAUCACAUAUCCAAAGAACGCCAGUCCGACCAUCUGCAAAAUUCUUUAGCUCCAUCAGGGCCAUACUUGGCAAAUUUCCCUUUAGGAACUCUUUUCCGUGCCAUAUUCUCUUGGGAGGAGCUCAGAAAAUGGAUGGAUAGUAGUGGUACACUUAGUCCGAGCUGGAUCUGAGCAGGCCAUACAGGUAAUAGAGAAAACAUGGGAAAAGGUUUAUGUCAUUAGUGCAGUAGGAAUCAUCAUGUGAGCACUAAAGACCACUUGUCACCUGAUUCGUGGCACUCAGUAAAAGAAGAAAUGGGCUUGAUUUCUUCAGAAAGGGAUCCCCUCACGGAUAGAACUGGACUGAAAGAAAGUACAUGGAAACAAGAAGGACAAAAGAAGAAAAAUCCAGAAAGGGAAAGACACAAAUCCCCCUCAUGUAUGCAGGAGAAGGGAAACUUCUCAUAGAACAUUUCAUGAACCACUCAUAGUACAUCUAAAGGCAAGCUGCCUUGGAGGAGGGGUGUGGAAUCAGAGAGAGCAUCGUGGCAGCCGUGUGAGUCCAAUAUUCCCACCAACGUCAAGGCGACAGCCACAGCUGGGCUUUCACUACAGCUCAGUUUCACCCCAGCCAAGAAGCUAAUCCAAACAGAGAGGCCAAUAGCUCUAUUUUCUGACUUGCCUUUUUUUCAAUUUGAUUCUUUUAAAUAUUUCUUACUUUGAAUAUUUUUCAUUUAACCAGUGUUAAUUCACCAAUUUCACUGUUUAAUGAGCUUUUUAUGAGUCAAUGUAUUAGUGACUUAAAAUCUCAUCAGAUUCUUCCCUCUCCCUCAAAAUACUGAGUGAACAAAUGAAAUUUAUUAAAUUAUGGCCUGAAUUAUCAAGCGCACCUAUUACAUUAAAUAAGAGUAACUCGAGGGAUGCAAUAAGAAAGCAGCUUUUUUGUCUCUAAUUGUUUAAUUGAUUUUUUUCAGUGAGGUUUGUUUUUUUCUUGUCUGUGGAUGAAAGCUCAAGGAGGACCUACGAUAUUUCUGAUCCUUCACAGACAAUGUAAUUCCUUUUUCUCAGUUCUGCUUAUAAAAUAUGUAUAAAUUCAGUAUUUAAAAUGCUCAGAUUGAGAAUUACAGCUUCAGGGCCAUAAUAGAGAGCUUGAAAGUACGUCACUUCUAUCCUUACAUGAAGAAAAAAGCUGAAAAAAGCUGUAAACAUCAACAGCUUUUCUUACACCCAUUAGAGAAAGGAGGUUUUAAGGGAACCAAAUAAUCUGAAAUCUGGAGAAAGACAAAGGCCUGCAGCGGGAAACAGUACCUGAUCUUAAACGUAGCAAAGUUAGUGUUAAUAUAAUAUUUGGCAGUAAAAUUUUCAUGAUCUCCUUUAAAAAAUUCUCCUAUGGAUAAAUUAAUAAAUCUAUUAAAACUGAACA
rnacentral:lncRNA from 1 species